UCAGAGCAUGUUUGUUACUAGCCUGGAGAGAAGAAACAAACUAACAAAGAUAGAAAAUGGCAAUCGUCUCUCUCUGCUAUAGUGCACUCCCAGCUCACUUUAGCAAGCUAGGGUUCCAUCACAAUCCAAUUUGUCGACCUGAUUCAUCAUCAAUCAAUCUCCAUCGUGUUUCGUUCACUCACUCAACUUCAAUUCUCAGGUUCAAGAAUGCCCCUGGACCGUUGAUAGGCAAGUGGUUGCCUUCAUUACAUGCAAUAAACAAGCCAGCAGGAGAAUCUAAUGAAGCAAUCACAGAUGGUGAUACAAGCAAUGCCCAAGGACCUCCUUUUCUGACCAUAUUAGCUGGAAUUGCCGUCUUUGUCCUUGUAGCCUGGGUCGUUGGAUCCAUCUUGUCGUGGCUAAUUGGUCUUUUGGGUUUGAUUUUCUCUAAAUAGGCGGGGUUAUGAUCUCGUUGUAUUUGUUUGGAACAUGUUUAUCUGGACAUUAUCAUCAGCAUUCAUAAUCAAACAUAGACCCGUUGUGCAA